GUUUGCACUUGUCGGGGAAGGGUGAGAACCUUCGAUUAAGGUUCGACUUCGAGCGAAAGCGAGAGAAGCGUUGUCAACGGCAACGACCCGAAGGGCGAAGCGCGCAGCGCUGAGUAAUCCUUCCCCCACCACCA
rnacentral:sRNA from 1 species